AAGUUUCCUGAGGCCUCCCAGCCAUGCUGAACUGUGGGUCAAUUAAACCUCUUUCCGUUAGAAAUUAUCCAGUCUUGGGUAUGUCUUUAUUAGCAGCGUGAGAAUGGACUAAUACAUCAAUUAUAAUGGAUUCAUUUUGAACAUGUUAAGAUUGACUUAUCUUUGAGAAGAUAGGUAGAGAGGUCCUGUGGGCACCUAGAGCUCACCUAGGACUGAAGACAGGUGUACAUGGCUUUAAUGUGAGUGCAGAAGCCAUGAAUGUGGAUAAGAUCUCCUUUGUGACGUACACAAUGAAAGAAGAAAAAGGGUGAGAACUGAACCUGUGGAACAUUCCCAUUUAUCAGCUGACAGAAGACUAAGGCCUGUGACAAAGGACCAAUGGAAAAAUAAAGGAGAGGAUAAAUGAUGAAUCAAAGGCACAAGGACAGGCUGGGCACAGUGGCUAGUGCCUGUAAUCUCAGCACUUUGGGAGGCCAAGCUUUUCUACUGUCCUGAAACAAGGUAGAGAAUCUGAGCAGCCAGUCAUCUGUCCUAAGUGCUGCCGCCGAAGACUGAAUGUCCUGGAAAGUUUGUUAUCACAUCUCCAUUAUGACAAAAGCAUUGUGCCGAACAGAUGAAAAAAUGCAUUGUCAAUGGAAUAUUUUAUGUUUGUUUUCCUUUAAGCAAUAUUGCCUUGUUAUAAAAGAUCAAUAAAUAUUUUUUCAUUUCAAUUCUGAUGAGUCUGUGAGCUGUUACCAUCAAGCACAGAGCAGCAUCCUACUUUGGGAUUGAGAAAGUGGGAAAUCUAAAGUGAAAGUCUACAGUGAUUAAACAAAACUGAAAACUGAGCCACUCCUCUUCCAUCUGGUACAGAAAUUGUGACCACAUGCCCUUCUCUCCACUAAGAGGAAAGACCAGACUCACUGGUUCACUGGUAUGUUUUCCUU